GCUGGCGGCAUGCCUAACACAUGCAAGUCGAGCGAGAAAGCCCUCCGGGGUGAGUAAAGCGGCGCACGGGUGAGUAACACGUGGGUAAUCUGCCCUUGAGUCUGGGACAACCCUUCGAAAGAAGGGCUAAUACCGGAGAGACCACAGGAACAUAAGUUCUAGGGGUUAAAGGCGGCGCAAGCUGUCGCUCGAGGAUGAGCUCGCGGUCUAUUAGCUUGUUGGUGAGGUAAAGGCUCACCAAGGCUGUGAUGGAUAUCUGGUUUGAGAGGAUGAUCAGACACACUGGAACUGAGACACGGUCCAGACUCCUACGGGAGGCAGCAGUGGGGAAUUUUGGACAAUGGGCGCAAGCCUGAUCCAGCAAUGCCGCGUGAGGGAAGAAGGUUUUCGGAUUGUAAAUCUCUGUCGGCAGGGACAAACGGCUCGAUGGUUAAUACCCAUUGGGAGUGAUGGUACCUGCAAAGGAAGGGGCGGCUAACUCUGUGCCAGCAGCCGCGGUAAUACAGAGGCCCCAAGCGUUGUUCGGAAUUAUUGGGCGUAAAGCGGGUGUAGGUGGCUAGGCAAGUCGGAUGUGAAAUCCCUGGGCUCAACCCAGGACGUGCGUUCGAUACUGCUUGGCUAGAGUGCGGUAGAGGAAAGUGGAAUUCCUAGUGUAGGGGUGAAAUCCGUAGAUAUUAGGAGGAAUACCAAAGGCGAAGGCAGCUUUCUGGCCCGCAACUGACACUCAGACCCGAAAGCGUGGGUAGCAAACAGGAUUAGAUACCCUGGUAGUCCACGCCGUAAGCGAUGUUCACUCGCUGUUUGCGAUACACAGUAAGCGGCUGAGCGAAAGCAUUAAGUGAACCACCUGGGGAGUACGAUCGCAAGGUUGAAACUCAAAGGAAUUGACGGGGGCCCGCACAAGCGGAGGAACAUGUGGUUUAAUUCGAUGAUACGCGAGGAACCUUACCUGGGCUUAAAUGUAGGCUGCAUGAAGUAGAAAUACUUCUUUCCUUCGGGACUGCUUACAAGGUGCUGCAUGGUUGUCGUCAGCUCGUGCCGUGAGGUGUCGGGUUAAGUCCCAUAACGAGCGCAACCCUUAUCGUUAGUUGCUAGCAGGUAAAGCUGAGGACUCUAGCGAGACUGCCACCGUAAGGUGAGAGGAAGGUGGGGAUGACGUCAAAUCAGCACGGCCCUUAUGUCCAGGGCUACACACGUGUUACAAUGGCCGGUACAGAGGGAAGCUACCUGGUGACAGGUUGCCAAUCUUAAAAGCCGGUCUCAGUUCGGAUUGGAGUCUGCAACCCGACUCCAUGAAGUUGGAUUCGCUAGUAAUCGCGCAUCAGCCAUGGCGCGGUGAAUACGUUCCCGGGCCUUGUACACACCGCCCGUCAAACCAUGGGAGCUGGGGGUGCCUGAAGUCUGUGACCGAGAGGAGCGGCACUAGGGUAAAACCAG
rnacentral:rRNA from 1 species